rnacentral:rRNA from 1 species
GAUGAACGCUGGCGGCGUGCCUAAUACAUGCAAGUCGAGCGAAUGGAUUGAGAGCUUGCUCUUAUGAAGUUGGCGGCGGACGGGUGAGUAACACGUGGGUAACCUGCCCAUAAGACUGGGAUAACUCCGGGAAACCGGGGCUAAUACCGGAUAACAUUUUGAACCGCAUGGUUCGAAAUUGAAAGGCGGCUUCGGCUGUCACUUAUGGAUGGACCCGCGUCGCAUUAGCUAGUUGGUGAGGUAACGGCUCACCAAGGCAACGAUGCGUAGCCGACCUGAGAGGGUGAUAGGCCACACUGGGACUGUGACACGGCCCAGACUCCUACGGGAGGCAGCAGUAGGGAAUCUUCCGCAAUGGACGAAAGUCUGACGGAGCAACGCCGCGUGAGUGAUGAAGGCUUUCGGGUCGUAAAACUCUGUUGUUAGGGAAGAACAAGUGCUAGUUGAAUAAGCUGGCACCUUGACGGUACCUAACCAGAAAGCCACGGCUAACUACGUGCCAGCAGCCGCAGUAA